rnacentral:hammerhead_ribozyme from 1 species
AUUCAGCUGACGAGUCCCAAAUAGGACGAAACGCGCGUCCUGGAC